rnacentral:rRNA from 1 species
GACGAACGCUGGCGGCGUGCCUAAUACAUGCCAGUCGAACGAAGUGGGGACGGGUGAGUAACACGUGGGUAACCUCCCAUCAGAGGGGAUAACACUUGGAAACAGGUGCUAAACCGAUACUGAUGGAUGGACCCGCGGUGCAGUAGCUAGUGGGUGAGGUAACGGCGCACCAAGGCCACGAUGCAUAGCCGACCUGAGAGGGGGAUCGGCAACACUGGAACUGAGAAACGGCCCAGACCCCGACGGGAGGCAGCAGUAGGGAAUCUUGGGCAAUGGACGAAAGUCUGACCGAGCCACGCCGCGGGAGUGAAGAAGGUUUUCGGAUCGUAAAAAACUGUUAUUAGAGAAGCGGUAUUGACCCAGAAAGCCACGGCUAACUACGUGCCAGCAGCCGCGGUAAUAC